rnacentral:rRNA from 1 species
GACGAACGCUGGCGGCGUGCCUAAUACAUGCAAGUAGAACGCACAGUUUAUACCGUAGCUUGCUACACCAUAGACUGUGAGUUGCGAAUGGGUGAGUAACGCGUAGGUAACCUGCCUGGUAGCGGGGGAUAACUAUUGGAAACGAUAGCUAAUACCGCAUAAUAUUGAUUAUUGCAUGAUAAUUGAUUGAAAGAUGCUAUUGCAUCACUACCAGAUGGACCUGCGUUGUAUUAGCUAGUAGGUGAGGUAACGGCUCACCUAGGCGAAGAUACAUAGCCGACCUGGGAAGGUGGACGGCCACACUGGGACUGAGACACGGCCCAAACUCCUAAGGGAGGGAGCAGUAGGGAAUCUUCGGCAAUGGACGGAAGUCUGGCCGGAGAACGCCGGGUGAGUGAAGAAUGGUUUCGGAUCGUAAAACUCUGUUGUAUGAGAAGAACGGGUGUGAGAGUGGAAAGUUCACACUGUGACGGUAGCUUAACAGAAAGGGACGGCUAACUACGUG